AUUGAACGCUGGCGGCAUGCCUUACACAUGCAAGUCGAACGGUAACGGGCCUUCGGGUGCCGACGAGUGGCGAACGGGUGAGUAAUGCAUCGGAACGUACCUUUCAGUGGGGGAUAACGUAGCGAAAGUUACGCUAAUACCGCAUAUUCUGUGAGCAGGAAAGCAGGGGAUCGCAAGACCUUGCGCUGAUUGAGCGGCCGAUGUCAGAUUAGCUAGUUGGUGAGGUAAAGGCUCACCAAGGCGACGAUCUGUAGCGGGUCUGAGAGGAUGAUCCGCCACACUGGAACGGAGACACGGUCCAGACUCCUACGGGAGGCAGCAGUGGGGAAUUUUGGACAAUGGGGGCAACCCUGAUCCAGCCAUGCCGCGUGAGUGAAGAAGGCC
rnacentral:rRNA from 1 species